GAGAAUACAGCGUGAGGUUCAGAGAAAAUCUGAGGAGCCCACCAACCAGGUCAGAAGAGCAGGAGGGUCAGCAAGGGAAAUACUCUGUCAAUAUUUCACCACAACACUGGAACAGAAAUGAAAAGAAGACGGUCACUAAUCAUAAUGACAGUAGCAAUGGCAGCUGUCACAACAGCCACACAGGGACUCUGUUCCGUGGACCUGAAAAGCACAGCUGCUGUCUGAAGACCAGGCCAAGUCUGGGCUCGCUGCUGUAUGGCAGCCUCUCCUUGGUUCUCUGCCUUCUCCAUUGGCAUCGGCUUUUGGAGGCUGCCACCAGCUCUGGACUUGCACUUAUCCCACAUCAUUUGGAGGCCAGAAUGAAGUGGCUUUGCAUCGCCCUGCUCAGGAGUUCGUCCUGCUCAGGAGUUCGCUCCAUCAGUGUAGCACACACCUGCAUUGCAGACCUGAAGCUAGAGACACACAGGCACCCUAACUCAGCUUUACCAAUUGGGAAUGGAGAAGGGAAACAUUGUCCUGAAAGAAUUCUCAAAUAAAGCACAUGAGGAAGGAAUUGAUUUGGAAGAACAGUCUUUUAUAGAAGAAAGAGCACGGGGGUAGAAGCAUGAGACGCCUGGCCACACAGCAUCCACAGUCAGCAAGCAAAGAGCUGUGGGCUGGGGCUCAGAAUUAAUUACACUAGGGUUUCUUAAA
rnacentral:lncRNA from 1 species